AGGCAGCAGUAGGGAAUCUUCCGCAAUGGACGAAAGUCUGACGGAGCGACGCCGCGUGAGCGAAGAAGGUCUUCGGAUCGUAAAGCUCUGUUGUUAGGGAAGAAGAAGUGCCGUUCGAACAGGGCGGCACGGUGACGGUACCUAACGAGAAAGCCCCGGCUAACUACGUGCCAACAGCCGCGGUAA
rnacentral:rRNA from 1 species